rnacentral:rRNA from 1 species
UACGUAGGUGGCGAGCGUUGUCCGGAUUUACUGGGCGUAAAGGGAGCGUAGGCGGACUUUUAAGUGAGAUGUGAAAUGCUCGGGCUCAACUUGAGUGCUGCAUUUCAAACUGGAAGUCUAGAGUGCAGGAGAGGAGAAUGGAAUUCCUAGUGUAGCGGUGAAAUGCGUAGAGAUUAGGAAGAACACCAGUGGCGAAGGCGAUUCUCUGGACUGUAACUGACGCUGAGGCUCGAAAGCGUGGGGAGCAAACAGG